rfam:Homo sapiens chromosome 2, GRCh38 reference primary assembly.
GCCUACGGCCAUACCACCCUGAACGUGCCCGAUCUCGUCUGAUCUUGGAAACUAAGCAGAGUCGGGCCUGGUUAGCACUUGGAUGGAAAUAGUAAUCUGCUUGUUUUUUCUGUGUGUUUGCC